AAAUUGAAGAGUUUGAUCAUGGCUCAGAUUGAACGCUGGCGGCAGGCCUAACACAUGCAAGUCGAACGGUAACAGGAAGCAGCUUGCUGCUUUGCUGACGAGUGGCGGACGGGUGAGUAAUGUCUGGGAAACUGCCUGAUGGAGGGGGAUAACUACUGGAAACGGUGGCUAAUACCGCAUAACGUCGCAAGACCAAAGAGGGGGACCUUCGGGCCUCUUGCCAUCAGAUGUGCCCAGAUGGGAUUAGCUUGUUGGUGAGGUAACGGCUCACCAAGGCGACGAUCCCUAGCUGGUCUGAGAGGAUGACCAGCCACACUGGAACUGAGACACGGUCCAGACUCCUACGGGAGGCAGCAGUGGGGAAUAUUGCACAAUGGGCGCAAGCCUGAUGCAGCCAUGCCGCGUGUAUGAAGAAGGCCUUCGGGUUGUAAAGUACUUUCAGCGGGGAGGAAGGUGUUGUGGUUAAUAACCGCAGCAAUUGACGUUACCCGCAGAAGAAGCACCGGCUAACUCCGUGCCAGCAGCCGCGGUAAUACGGAGGGUGCAAGCGUUAAUCGGAAUUACUGGGCGUAAAGCGCACGCAGGCGGUCUGUCAAGUCGGAUGUGAAAUCCCCGGGCUCAACCUGGGAACUGCAUUCGAAACUGGCAGGCUUGAGUCUUGUAGAGGGGGGUAGAAUUCCAGGUGUAGCGGUGAAAUGCGUAGAGAUCUGGAGGAAUACCGGUGGCGAAGGCGGCCCCCUGGACAAAGACUGACGCUCAGGUGCGAAAGCGUGGGGAGCAAACAGGAUUAGAUACCCUGGUAGUCCACGCCGUAAACGAUGUCUACUUGGAGGUUGUGCCCUUGAGGCGUGGCUUCCGGAGCUAACGCGUUAAGUAGACCGCCUGGGGAGUACGGCCGCAAGGUUAAAACUCAAAUGAAUUGACGGGGGCCCGCACAAGCGGUGGAGCAUGUGGUUUAAUUCGAUGCAACGCGAAGAACCUUACCUGGUCUUGACAUCCACAGAACUUUCCAGAGAUGGAUUGGUGCCUUCGGGAACUGUGAGACAGGUGCUGCAUGGCUGUCGUCAGCUCGUGUUGUGAAAUGUUGGGUUAAGUCCCGCAACGAGCGCAACCCUUAUCCUUUGUUGCCAGCGGUCCGGCCGGGAACUCAAAGGAGACUGCCAGUGAUAAACUGGAGGAAGGUGGGGAUGACGUCAAGUCAUCAUGGCCCUUACGACCAGGGCUACACACGUGCUACAAUGGCGCAUACAAAGAGAAGCGACCUCGCGAGAGUAAGCGGACCUCAUAAAGUGCGUCGUAGUCCGGAUUGGAGUCUGCAACUCGACUCCAUGAAGUCGGAAUCGCUAGUAAUCGUGGAUCAGAAUGCCACGGUGAAUACGUUCCCGGGCCUUGUACACACCGCCCGUCACACCAUGGGAGUGGGUUGCAAAAGAAGUAGGUAGCUUAACCUUCGGGGGGGCGCUUACCACUUUGUGAUUCAUGACUGGGGUGAAGUCGUAACAAGGUAACCGUAGGGGAACCUGCGGUUGGAUCACCUCCUUA
rnacentral:rRNA from 2 species